UGCUUGCACCUUUCAAGCGAGUGGCGAACGGGUGAGUAACACGUGGAUAACCUGCCUCAAGGCUGGGGAUAACAUUUGGAAACAGAUGCUAAUACCGAAUAAAACUUAGUAUCGCAUGAUAUAAAGUUAAAAGGCGCUACGGCGUCACCUAGAGAUGGAUCCGCGGUGCAUUAGUUAGUUGGUGGGGUAAAGGCUUACCAAGACAAUGAUGCAUAGCCGAGUUGAGAGACUGAUCGGCCACAUUGGGACUGAGACACGGCCCAAACUCCUACGGGAGGCUGCAGUAGGGAAUCUUCCACAAUGGGCGCAAGCCUGAUGGAGCAACGCCGCGUGUGUGAUGAAGGCUUUCGGGUCGUAAAGCACUGUUGUAUGGGAAGAAAUGCUAAAAUAGGGAAUGAUUUUAGUUUGACGGUACCAUACCAGAAAGGGACGGCUAAAUACGUGCCAGCAGCCGCGGUAAUACGUAUGUCCCGAGCGUUAUCCGGAUUUAUUGGGCGUAAAGCGAGCGCAGACGGUUGAUUAAGUCUGAUGUGAAAGCCCGGAGCUCAACUCCGGAAUGGCAUUGGAAACUGGUUAACUUGAGUGUUGUAGAGGUAAGUGGAACUCCAUGUGUAGCGGUGGAAUGCGUAGAUAUAUGGAAGAACACCAGUGGCGAAGGCGGCUUACUGGACAACAACUGACGUUGAGGCUCGAAAGUGUGGGUAGCAAACAGGAUUAGAUACCCUGGUAGUCCACACCGUAAACGAUGAAUACUAGGUGUUAGGAGGUUUCCGCCUCUUAGUGCCGAAGCUAACGCAUUAAGUAUUCCGCCUGGGGAGUACGACCGCAAGGUUGAAACUCAAAGGAAUUGACGGGGACCCGCACAAGCGGUGGAGCAUGUGGUUUAAUUCGAAGCAACGCGAAGAACCUUACCAGGUCUUGACAUCCUUUGAAGCUUUUAGAGAUAGAAGUGUUCUCUUCGGAGACAAAGUGACAGGUGGUGCAUGGUCGUCGUCAGCUCGUGUCGUGAGAUGUUGGGUUAAGUCCCGCAACGAGCGCAACCCUUAUUGUUAGUUGCCAGCAUUCAGUUGGGCACUCUAGCGAGACUGCCGGUGACAAACCGGAGGAAGGCGGGGACGACGUCAGAUCAUCAUGCCCCUUAUGACCUGGGCUACACACGUGCUACAAUGGCGUAUACAACGAGUUGCCAACCUGCGAAGGUGAGCUAAUCUCUUAAAGUACGUCUCAGUUCGGACUGCAGUCUGCAACUCGACUGCACGAAGUCGGAAUCGCUAGUAAUCGCGGAUCAGCACGCCGCGGUGAAUACGUUCCCGGGUCUUGUACACACCGCCCGUCACACCAUGGGAGUUUGUAAUGCCCAAAGCC
rnacentral:rRNA from 1 species